GUUACAGCGCCCUCUCUUGUCGAUGCUUGUCGGUCUUUUCAAUCGGCCAUUUUAACUACUUGAUCCUUCUCUGCUGAUAGUGGAAUUUCUGCGCCUUGAGUUCAUCAUGGCCAAGUCCAAGAAUCACACCAGUCAUAACAACAGUCGCAAAAAUCACCGCAAUGGAAUCAAGAGACCCAAGAACUUGAAGAGCCCUUGUCUUAAAGGGGUUGAUGCCAAGUUCUUGAAGAACAUGAGGUUUGCCAAGAAGCACAACAAGAGACACCCUAAGCCAAAGAUUGAGUCUUAAACCAUUGGAUGAACUGACAGAGAUUCUACAAUGUAUUAUUCAUAACAAGAAAAACAAAUACACAAAAAAAGCACAAAGUAGAGAACAGAUGUUCGUAGAGUGGAGUUGCAUGCAAGGAUGGAAGAUUAAGAUUCUACUCCUAUUCUAUUUGACAUAAUGGAUACCUUGCAUUAUUCAAAAUAAAUGUGUUUUGAUUCAAAUUUAUUUGAAACGUUGAAAAAAUAAACGAGGCUUCUCCUCUACUUGGAACACA